UACGGGGGGGGCAAGCGUUGUUCGGAAUUACUGGGCGUAAAGGGCUGGUAGGCGGCCAACUAAGUCGGAUGUGAAAUCCCCAGGCUUAACCUGGGAACUGCAUCCGAUACUGGUCGGCUUGAAUCCGGGAGAGGGAUGCAGAAUUCCAGGUGUAGCGGUGAAAUGCGUAGAUAUCCGGAGGAACACCAGUGGCGAAGGCGACUUUCUGGCCUGUUCUUGACGCUGAGGCGCGAAAGCUAGGGGAGCAAACGGG
rnacentral:rRNA from 1 species